GAGGAGCUUGAAAGCUUUUUCAGAUCCUGCGACGCCGUUUCGGUUGCUAAGAGAAGGUGUCCGUGUAUAUGAUCUUCUUGGUUUAUGAUGAUGAUGAUGAUGAUGGUGGUGGUGGUGGUGGUGGGGGUGAUGACGAUGAUGAGGGUCAUGACUCGUAAUCCUUCUCUAUUACAUACACAAUUUUUUUCUUCUUUUUGGGUUUAUGGGGGAUUGAUUAAUUCAUAUAUAGAGAGAGCGAAAGAGAGUGAGGAUCAAAAGGGUUCAUGAUCCCAUGUAUGUUUAUCUCAUAUAUAUAUAUAUAUGCAUGUAAUUACACGUUAAUUCCACGUUGUUUUGUAUGAGAAUUAGACAAGUUCGAAUUCUCCAAUCAUCAGUUCAUAUAUGUCUGCAAUUCAGACAAUAAUGUUAUGUGGAUCUGAACCUUUAUUAGUCUAAUUUCUCUCUUGUGAUAUUCGCCUUGAAAUUCAAAAAUUCUCUUUUGAAUUUUGUGUUUACAUAUAUAACUAUAUAUGAUAAUUUAUAUCAUUGUCAUCCCAGCCAA
rnacentral:lncRNA from 1 species